rnacentral:SRP_RNA from 1 species
GCCGAGCCAGUUGACGUGGGCUUGUAACCCAAGUGGGGGCUAUGAAGUGGUGGGACGUUGUUCCAAUCCAGAUGGCUGGAUUCGGAAUGGCUAUCUUCUGGCUCGCCCAUUCCAAGCAGGGAGUUGAACCAAGAGACUCGAUCGAAAGCUGGAGUUUCUUGGGUCCUAGAGUGGAGAGUACCGCGUGAGGCUGGCUUCACAGAGCAGCGACCAUCUCCCGCUUCCGGCAGUGGAAGGAUAACGAGUCGGUGUCACUCGGUUCCACAUAGCCACAUGGACUGUUCUAAUUGGACCACCACUUUU